ensembl:lncRNA
UACAUAUAUGUAUAUGAAUGUGUAGAUAUAUAUAUACUAUACAUAUGACUUCCUCUUCAUCCCCCCUGCUUCUCUUCCUCGUCUUUCUAUAAAUACAGAUGUGUGACAAAGUGUUCGCCCGCUUCCUGAUUUAUUUGCAUGUUUGUCACACUUAAAUGUUUCAGAUCAAACAAAUUGGAAUAUUAGACAAAGAUCACAAGUAAACGCAAAAUGCAGCUUUUAAAUGAAGGUUUUUAUUAUUAAGGGGGAGAAAAUCCAAUCCAAUAAGUGGUCGGCCGCUCUGAGCAGCAACAACUGCCAUCAAGCGUUUGCGAUAACUGGCAAUGAGUCUUUACAGCUGUGGAGGAACUGUGGACUCGUCUUUGCAGAACCGUUUGAGCAUGAACCUCCGUUUUGAGGUCACGUCACAGCAUCUCCAUCGGAUUCCGGUGAGGACUGACGAGGCCACUGAAAGACUUCAUUUGGAUUUUCUUGGACUUGCUGGUGUGUUUCGGAUCGUUGUCCUGCUGCAGAACCCAAGUGCUCUUCAGCUUGAGGUCACACACAGAUGGCCGGACCUUCUCCUUCAGGACUUUUUGGUAAACGGCAAAAUGUAUGGUUCCUUUUACCACAGAAAGUCUUCCAGGUCCUGAAGCAGCAAAACAGCAGCAGACCGUCACACCACACAUUUUACUGUUGGUAUGAGGUUCACCACUGUUUGUGCUUCGCUGGAGACCCAAAGCUUUACAAAUGCCUUGGUGACCUUUUCCACACUGAUGAUCUCAAUGACUUUGUUUCUCAUUUGAAUUUCUUUGGAUCGCAGCCUUUGAGGAUCGUCUGGUCUUCUUCACGUUGUCAGGUCCUAUUUAAGUCACUUCUUCAUUGAGAAAUUGACCUCAGCUUUCCAAAGAUGUGAUAAACUACAGUUCUUUCAUGUUUUAACGGGGGGAUGACUUGUUCUUACAGGUUUGGAUUUUUUUCUUCCCUCAAUAAUAAAAACCUUCAUUUAAAAACUGCAUUUUGUGUUUACUUGUUAUUUUUGUCUAACAUUUAAAUUUGUUAAUGAUCUGAAACAUUUAAGUGUGACAAACAUGCAAAGAAAUAAGAAAUAAGGGAGGGGCCAACACUACUGUAUACUCAGCUCCCCUGGGUCCUAGUGCCGCCUCAAAUAAUCUCUUAAUCUUCCUGAUCUAACAGCAGACAUGUUCUUCAAGUAGAUUCAUCUGACAGGCCGUCCAUGAAGGCAACACAGAAACACGUCAGUGUUUAGUGAUGCAUUCACUGACAAACUGAGCUCGUAGAUCAGGGGUCCGUUUCAAGUCGGAGGUUUAACAAACUCUGAGUUUCUGGUGUCAGAACAGCUGUUCAGAGCUGGUUCGAUCAUCUCGAGUAGGUUGACUCAGAGUUGAGCGGCUGCACCAGUAUGAAGGCAGCAUGAAUGGACGAGUUACCAUGGCAACAACCACAAACAAUACAUUCACCCCUAUUGAGCUGCACAUAUUAAUGUAAGCGUACGAGUAUGAACCCGUAAUUAGAAAGAAAAGCAGCUGCAGCAAAAGAGAAACGGUGUAAGUUCUAAUAUAGUGUCUGUUAAUAUUUAAUGUACACUAAUCAUAAUCCAUACGUUUGACUAGUUCCCUCUGUUUGUUAGAAUGCACUACACACAGGCUGGAAAUACACACACAGGCUCAUAUUUAAUCACUGGUAUAAGCUGUACGAUGGUGUUGGACCUGUAAUGUGUCCUUCAGGUGCAUCCUGUGGGACUCCUCUUUAACGUCUCACUGGUUUGUGUCCAACAAAAAGGUUUAAAAGACGUUUCUCACGGCUCUGCAUGCAGCAGCUUUACUGAUAUUCUAAUGUUGUAAAGGAAAACACGUGAUACUACACAAAGAAUGUGCUCGUAUGUGAGAGCACGUCCACCAUGGGGACGUUACUUCUAUGAGGACGCGUGAGGUCAUGGACAUAUUUGAUGGACUGUGAAGGAAAACGAUAGCGUUCAAACAAGUAGUCAUCUGGGCCUCAUUUAUAAACAGAAGGCAGAAGUCGCUCUACGCAAUAAUUGGUAUUUAUGAAAAGCAAACAUGACGGAGAAAUUGUGCUUCACGCGAGCUCGGACCCACGCGUGCGCACAAAACGGGUGAAAUGAGAACCGUCGGCAAACGCAAGAAACACGCAAACGUGUGUGAAAGUGUGUAAAACUAGACUGUUGUAAAUGAAAUGACAACACUGCCUCAUAAAUAACACGAACACCCGUCUGAUCUGCAGCGUAAAACAAAUACUAAUUAACACAUUUACAAAAAGAAAAGUGAAAUAUGUUCUGCAAUAAUAUCAACAAUUCAUCCUCUAAACACAGCUGUUGCUCGUCAGAAGGAAUCAGAUGGACGGUAAUAAAACGCCACGAUGCCGUCACAAUGCGUAAUGAUGCUGAUGGCUGAUCUCGCGCUCUUAGAAGACGUGGCACAUGGAAGGAUU